AUUGAACGCUGGCGGCAGGCCUAACACAUGCAAGUCGAACGGUAACAGGAAGCAGCUUGCUGCUUUGCUGACGAGUGGCGGACGGGUGAGUAAUGUCUGGGAAACUGCCCGAUGGAGGGGGAUAACUACUGGAAACGGUAGCUAAUACCGCAUAACGUCGCAAGACCAAAGAGGGGGACCUUAGGGCCUCUUGCCAUCGGAUGUGCCCAGAUGGGAUUAGCUAGUAGGUGGGGUAACGGCUCACCUAGGCGACGAUCCCUAGCUGGUCUGAGAGGAUGACCAGCCACACUGGAACUGAGACACGGUCCAGACUCCUACGGGAGGCAGCAGUGGGGAAUAUUGCACAAUGGGCGCAAGCCUGAUGCAGCCAUGCCGCGUGUAUGAAGAAGGCCUUCGGGUUGUAAAGUACUUUCAGCGGGGCGGAAGGGAGUAAAGUUAAUACCUUGGCUCAUUGACGUUACCCGCAGAAGAAGCACCGGCUAACUCCGUG
rnacentral:rRNA from 1 species